AGCAGCCGCGGUAAUUCCAGCUCCAAUAGCGUAUAUUAAAGUUGUUGCAGUUAAAAAGCUCGUAGUUGAAUUUCGGGAUCAAUAUGUUGGUCGUGCCUUGGUACGUACUGGCAUUAUUGGUUUCUACCUUCUGAAGAACCUCGAUGUCAUUAAUUUGGUGUCUUGGGGAAUCAGGACUGUUACUUUGAAAAAUUAGAGUGUUUAAAGCAGGCUCGCGCUUGAAUACAUUAGCAUGGAAUAAUGAAAUAGGACGUUUGAUUCUAUUUUGUUGGUUUCUAGGAUCGACGUAAUGAUUAAUAGGGAUAGUUGGGGGCAUUAGUAUUCAAUUGUCAGAGGUGAAAUUCUUGGAUUUAUUGAAGACUAACUACUGCGAAAGCAUUUGCCAAGGAUGUUUUCAUUAAUCAAGAACGAAAGUUAGGGGAUCGAAGACGAUCAGAUACCGUCGUAGUCUUAACCAUAAACUAUGCCGACUAGGGAUCGGAUGAUGUUAAUUUUUUAAUGACUCAUUCGGCGCCUUACG
rnacentral:rRNA from 1 species